rnacentral:lncRNA from 1 species
AGACAGGAGAAUUUCUUGAAUCCAGAAGGCAGAGGUUGCAGUGAGCCAAGAUCAUGCCAAUGCGCUCCAGCCUGGGCGACAGAGUGAAACUCCAAGUGAAUAAAUGAAUUGUGAGUGCAUGAAAAGCCAGGGGAAGGGGCCUGAGCAUCUCCUUCAGGGGUACCUGCCAAGGCGGAGUCCUGGAACCCCUGCCCAGAACUGCUCGUGGAGGGCAUCUGCGUUAGUCCCCUGCUCCCCAGCGCUGCCAGCCCCUGCCUCAGAUCUCUUACCCAACCGCAUCGCUUCCACUUGGC